rnacentral:tRNA from 1 species
UAGCUCAGUGGUUUGAGCAUUGGCCUGCUAAAUCUAGGGUUGUAAGUUCAAUCCUUGC